rnacentral:rRNA from 1 species
CCUACGGGAGGCAGCAGUGGGGAAUAUUGCGCAAUGGGCGAAAGCCUGACGCAGCGACGCCGCGUGAGGGAUGAAGGUCUUCGGAUCGUAAACCUCUGUCAGCAGGGAAGAACGGUCACUGUGCUAAUCAGCAGUGAAUUGACGGUACCUGACCAAGAAGCCCCGGCUAACUACGUGCCAGCAGCCGCGGUAAUACGGAGGGGGCAAGCGUUAUCCGGAUUUACUGGGUGUAAGGGGAGCGUAGACGGCAGGGCAAGUCUGGAGUGAAAAGUGGGGGCUCAACCCCCGGACUGCUCUGGAAACUGGCAGGCUGGAGUGCAGGAGAGGUGAGUGGAAUUCCUAGUGUAGCGGUGAAAUGCGUAGAGAUUAGGAAGAACACCAGUGGCGAAGGCGACUUACUGGACUGUAACUGACGUUGAGGCUCGAAAGCGUGGGGAGCAAACAGGAUUAGAUACCCCAGUAGUC